rnacentral:lncRNA from 1 species
AUUGCGGACUUGUUACUUUAAUAUCAAAAAUUUUUAUUCCUUUAAGAGAACAAGCUGCAACAUUGGCAUCACUUUCAAUGACGAAAGAUCGGCGAGCACAGCCUAAAAAAUAAAAAAUUCAAUGAAAUUCUUAAAAAAAAUGAUAAUGAAUUAAAAAUCGAUGAGGCGCUUACCUCAACAUUGUGAAGAUGAGCCUAGGACGAGCGACCAGAGACGACCACGAAGUGCUCGAGGAGAACCCCGUUUAAGAAAUUCUUGAGCAACCGGUGCGUGGUUGCUCUUCAAUACUUUCUCCCCCAAAUGAGUUCUUUCUGCUUCGAGAUUGGCAAAAUUUCCAUUAGCCGGCAUAUUGUUGUUAACCCCCAGAAGUGCGACCCCAUGAGCUAAUUCGCAAUAUGUCGAUCUCUAACAAAAAAAGGAUCCUUUCUUAGACAAUUAUAUAUAACUUUCUAACAACUAUAGUUGAUAAAAAAUUUAAUUCAUUUGUUUAUCGCUUUCAAAUACUUGCAAAUAUUCAAUCUUACGAGUUUGGCAAGAGUUUUUACUCGAAUUUGAAUGUGGCUGAAUUCCCAAUUGGGCUCGUUUCUGUAAAGAAAUAUUAAUAAGAAUUCGCUCAUAAUUAAAUUCUUUUCUUGCACUCACAUUUGUUUCUUGAAAGUUGGAUCUCGAAUGGAAAAUAACACCUCGAGAAAGUCUUUGGGAGCAUAGACAGGUCUGUAUUGCGAUAAAUCUAAAAACACAAAAGAUUCUCAAAAAAUGUUUUUUCUCAUAUCUGAUUGGAAUAAGUCAUAGGUACUCUUAUACUGCUAUGCAAUUAUUUCAUAUUUUAAGCUAUGCGAGUGAACAAAUCGAUUAUAUUCAUAAAGACACGAAAGUAAAUCAUAAUUUUUUUAUAAAUGGAAAACAUUUUCCAUUUUUCACACAAGUUCAGAAGGCUUCAACUAGAAUGGUCUUGAGUGGAGUGAAAAAAAAAAAUUAUUUCAUAUGGCAAUGAAUGUCAUAAAAUAUAUAACCAAUAUCGUAAGUGCUCAAUUCGUUCCAUUUUUCAGCGAGCUCUUCCCUGUCAGCGUUGGGUCGGAUCCUAGCUAACGGAACGUUCAACUCGUUACAUAUUGAGUUCAAAGACUUUUGGAUUCUGCGUUCCCAUUGGAUCUGAGCCUUUCUUAAGUAGCUCAAAUCGGCCUCGUUACGAGCAACUUCCGGUCUCGGAGCGAGAGAACCCUUGGCGAACGAAAUGCCGAUUUAUUGAUACGUCAAUUUUUUUUUUAUUAUCAACCGCUUUUCACGCAAAAGAAAAAGGAAGAAUAUUUUUCGAUUAAAUUGCUAACCUGUGAACGAGCCCAAUGAAACACUGAAUUUCGUAUUUCGGUCUCUAGCCCAUUCGUUUUUAAGGCAUCGACCAGGGUACUUUUAAAAUUGUCCAUCCUUACGGAUGACGAAGCUGUGAUUUUCUAAAAUGUUGUUUCAACAUUUAUCAAUUCUUUCGAUUUUUCUAGAGUCACAAAAAAUCAAGAAACAAAAAUAAUCGUACCUGGAUUUCGCUGUAAAUGUUUUUGUAGUUACCCAUAUUCCGUAUAUCAUCCGUCAAUUUUUGUGCCGCUUUUUCAAGCUCCUUUUCCGUCGAUUUGUCCAUUCUCGGUUGACUCAAAAUUUGACGUAAUAAUAUUAAUACGCUUUGACAAAACUAACAAUCUCCCGUUUCAAAGAACUUGUUUAUAUAGGAACAACAAAAAUCCAGCAAAAUGAGAAAGGAGAAUCGGCGCCAUUUGUAAACAAAUCAUGUUAUUUACUCGUUUUGCGAAAAAGGGAAACUUACCACACUAUAUAUACGCGCUUUCUACAGUCAACUCAACAGAAAUAUUCUGAAUGAUACGCGAAUAUUUACUGAAUAUUUUAAAUUAACUCCUCAGCUUUGGUUUAUUAUCUUAUAUCACGUAUAUGCUUGCGCGCCAUUCUCAAUUUCUAUAGACAUAUUCAUAUAUGGAGAAAGAAGUCUCAAUUUAUAUGCAAAUGUAUUCGAUGAAAUAUAACGAUGAUGAUUCUAA